UCAAUCAACACCUUGUGCAGUAAAUUGUGGUCCUGUUGAGUGCAUUUUUUUAGGGUUUUGCACGAACCAAGUAAGAUUUAGCUCCAUCCAUCUAUCUGGGGUUCUAAUUUUCCUCUACAGAGAGAGGUGUAUCAAUGGGGAGGUACAGAAGCCGAAGCAGAAGCUACAGCCCUAGGCGUAGCAGAAGCCCACUGCGACGCAAGCAAUACGAUGAUAGUCGGUCUAGCAGAGCCGGAAGAUCACCUGCCCCUUCUGGUCUUCUUAUUCGCAACAUCUCUCUCCACGCAAGGCCAGAAGAUCUUAGAACCCGGUUUGAACGAUUUGGUCCACUAAAGGAUGUGUAUUUACCUAAGGACUACUACACCGGUAGUUGAGGAAGCUAUAGGAGGCGAAGUCCACCGAGAUCCCCAAGCCGCCGUCAUCGCUCUUACUCACCCUCACCUUCUCCAAUAAGAAGUGAUUUAAGGGGCUCCAGGGCAAGGGAUGAUUAUUAUUCUCCACGCCGAUCUAGAUCCAAUUCGCGGUCAGUUUCUCCACGCAAUGAGAGAAAUAACAAGGCAAACCGAGGGUCCUCAAGGCAGUCUAGAUCCGUUUCACAGUCUCUUUCUCCACGCGAUGAGAUAAAUUACAGGUCAAACCGCAGGUAUCCAAGUCCGGGAGAGAAUGCUCGGUGUCCUCACGGUGAGAGGAUUCAUCCACCCAGCAAGUCACACAGUCCAAGAGGAAGCACCCAGAAUCGCUCUCGAUCCUAUAGUCCUCGCUGAUGGUUCUUCGCUAGUUAUGUUGCUGCCCUGUGGCUCUGCCCUUGCGGUUCUUUUGUAAAGUGUUCAGUUGCGCUCCGGCAAUAUUUGCACUAUAUAAUGAUUGUAAGCUUGAAACUAUAAGAGGACAGUUUAGUAGACUUAAGUUACUGUGACUGAUGUUAGUGUCAUUUUAUUUUUGUUGGAGUUCGAAUUUUUGUCAGAUGGGAGUAUCUAAUGUUUUAAGAAGUUUGCAUUGAAGCUUUUAUUCAACAGUUCCUAUGACUGGCUUUGUUGUUAA